AGUGAACGCUGGCGGUAGGCCUAACACAUGCAAGUCGAACGGCGGCACAGUAAGAGCUUGCUCUUACGGGUGGCGAGUGGCGGACGGGUGAGGAAUACAUCGGAAUCUACUUUUUCGUGGGGGAUAACGUAGGGAAACUUACGCUAAUACCGCAUACGACCUACGGGUGAAAGCAGGGGAUCUUCGGACCUUGCGCGAUUGAAUGAGCCGAUGUCGGAUUAGCUAGUUGGCGGGGUAAAGGCCCACCAAGGCGACGAUCCGUAGCUGGUCUGAGAGGAUGAUCAGCCACACUGGAACUGAGACACGGUCCAGACUCCUACGGGAGGCAGCAGUGGGGAAUAUUGGACAAUGGGCGCAAGCCUGAUCCAGCCAUACCGCGUGGGUGAUGAAGGCCUUCGGGUUGUAAAGCCCUUUUGUUGGGAAAGAAAAGCAGCAGGUUAAUACCCCGCUGUUCUGACGGUACCCAAAGAAUAAGCACCGGCUAACUUCGUG
rnacentral:rRNA from 1 species